CAGGCGCAGUUGGCCACUGCGGACGGCUCCAGGACGAGGCUGCUGAAGGCCGGCAGGGGGCGCCGCAGCGCCUUGACUGUCCACAAGAGAACCACACCAUUGAAGCUUCCCUGAUAGGGCCAGGUGCUGUUCCUGGCAAAGCAGGCAUCCCAUUCUUCGAGCUAUCCUGUGGUCCAGAAAGAUGGAUCUCUCGCCUUUCAAAAUGACUUGGUCCCUGAGAGAAGGGAGGACGUUCCGGAUCCUAGACCAGAUGGAACAGGCUGCUGGUGUCAGAGAGACAAGGGAAGGAGACAGACAGGGACUGUGGAUGCUGGGAACUGUGCAGACUCCCACAGACAUGCAGAUUGGCGCUCACCUACAGCCAGGGCCAGUUCAAAACAGCCCAACCACUUGGGAAAAGCCCGAGGUUCUGCCAGAGACCCCACCAACCCUCGCAGGUGCCAGGUGAGCCAGUUACAAAGGAGAACUAACCGAGGUUUCAAAUACAGUCGGACCAAUUACAAGAGGCAGGGGAUAAGA